AUGAUCAGGUCUGCUUCUUCCAGA
rnacentral:siRNA from 1 species